GGGGGAUUAGCUCGGCUGGGAGAGCACCUGCUUUGCAAGCAGGGGGUCGUCGGUUCGAUCCCGACAUCCUCCACCA
rnacentral:tRNA from 1 species